GUAGGGGGCAAGCGUUAUCCGGAUUUACUGGGUGUAAAGGGAGCGUAGACGGAAGUGCAAGUCUGAAGUGAAAGCCCGGGGCUCAACCCCGUGACUGCUUUGGAAACUGUGCUUCUAGAGUGUCGGAGAGGUAAGCGGAAUUCCUAGUGUAGCGGUGGAAUGCGUAGAUAUUAGGAGGAACAUCAGUGGCGAAGGCGGCUUACUGGACGAUAACUGACGUUGAGGCUCGAAAGCGUGGGGAGCAAACAGGAUUAGAUACCCUGGUAGUCCACGCCGUAAACGAUGACUACUAGGUGUCGGGGUACAAAGUACUUCGGUGCCGCAGCCAACGCAAUAAGUAGUCCACCUGGGGAGUACGUUCGCAAGAAUGAAACUCAA
rnacentral:rRNA from 1 species